CCGUCUUAUGCCAACGCUCGGCCAGCAUGUCCCCGCCUGCUGAUCUUGAGCCGGAUGCGCCGACGACUCACCCCGGUGAGCCGUACGCGUACGAGACAAUAUAAAACCCCGACGACAGUCUUUGAGUACGAGACCCUCGCUACUCCGGUAGAGCUCUACGAGGGGCCUUGUAAUUAUCAGUUGUCACAUUU
rnacentral:snoRNA from 1 species